rnacentral:rRNA from 1 species
UACGUAGGGUGCAGGCGUUGUCCGGAAUUAUUGGGCGUAAAGAGCUCGUAGGCGGUCUGUCACGUCGGCUGUGAAAACCUGGGGCUCAACUCCGGGCCUGCAGCCGAUACGGGCAGACUAGAGUUCGGCAGGGGAGACUGGAAUUCCUGGUGUAGCGGUGAAAUGCGCAGAUAUCAGGAGGAACACCGGUGGCGAAGGCGGGUCUCUGGGCCGAAACUGACGCUGAGACGCGAAAGCGUGGGGAGCAAACAGG